GACCGGAGUGGACGCAUCACUGGUGUUCGGGUUGUCAUGCCAAUGGCACUGCCCGGUAGCUAAAUGCGGAAGAGAUAAGUGCUGAAAGCAUCUAAGCACGAAACUUGCCCCGAGAUGAGUUCUCCCUGACUCCUUGAGAGUCCUGAAGGAACGUUGAAGACGACGACGUUGAUAGGCCGGGUGUGUAAGCGCAGCGAUGCGUUGAGCUAACCGGUACUAAUGAACCGUGAGGCUUAACCUUACAACGCCGAAGGUGUUU
rnacentral:rRNA from 2 species